rnacentral:snoRNA from 1 species
GUGAAAUGAUGAUUAUGUUUAUCCAUUCGCUGAGUACGCUGCACUGACCUUCUUCCCAGUCUCAGUUCCUGUUCUGGGAACUUGGGGCUGAGUAGGCUCCAAAUGCCCUGCUGUCUGCAGUGUUCUACUGUGGAUUGCUUGUGUGUUGGUAGACUACUACUGGUAAGAAUGGCUAGUGUCAGCAGGGAUGGGUCUCUCCGGAUUCCAUCUCACCAAGAUGAGUGGUGCAAAUCUGAUCAC